CUUGUUGUCACCAUAAUCCCAUGUAGGUUGUCUUUAAAAAUGUCCCAUCAACCACUACUACUGGUUUACAAUAUUCCAAUAACUUAUUGAUGUACAAAACAAAUGCAUACAAGAAGCAUUCAUCUGUUGUCUUCUUCAAUUUAACAACUGAACCAGGAUACGUCUUCUCAAGAAUAUAAAAAUAGUUUGGUAAUUUGUUGUAGGAGUCAGCCGGAUGACCUUUCAAUAACCGUAAAGCUUUUUUCUUUGCCCUUCAUGCUCGCAUGUAGCUUAGGUUCACUCCGUGUUGGGACAACAUGUCAGUUUGUAUGUCCUUUGGUGUGUAAACUGUCUUAGGAUCACAAUACUUUGGCAUGACC
rnacentral:lncRNA from 1 species